CUUGUCUUUUUCUAGAGAUACCUUGAACCAGAACUGAAGGCGAAGAAGAAAAAUAAUUUGACAAAUACCUUAGAGGAUAUUAAAAAAGCACGCCUCCGCCCGCCUGCCGUGAUAUUAUAGCAGCAAGAAUCACUCUUGUUACUUCUGUUGCUAGCUGAUGUGUUCAUGACUUUCAAGGGUCAUUAAAAAAUAAAUAACUUCCAGUUUCGGCAAGCAGAGCUGGGGUACUUGCGGGACUUUGAAACAGCGUAUGGAAUUAUGGAAUAGCCCACAAGUUCCUAAAUGCCUCUACUCGGUCCAAAUAUCUUCCACUGCAAGUGAACUGUUAACAUUCCUAUUGGAUGUUACAAGAAAUCAACAUAUAUUUUUUAAAAACAAAAUAAAUGAAAUUCUAGUUU